rnacentral:misc_RNA from 1 species
GAGAGAUCAAUCAGUUGCCUUGGAAAGGUGGGAGUGAGAAUAAUCCAGAUUAUGAAUGUCUUCGUGCUGAGUUGAGAAAAAUGGCACCACCCAAUGGACGUGCUGUAUUGUUGUUUAGGUCUAAAUGUGGCUGUCCUGUUGCUAAACUUGAAGGUUGGGGUGCUAAACGAGGGCGUCGGCACAAGAAGACUCUGGCAAUUAAUGGUAAGGCGGAUCAUCGCUGAGUU